rnacentral:rRNA from 1 species
UACAGAGGUCUCAAGCGUUGUUCGGAUUCAUUGGGCGUAAAGGGUGCGUAGGUGGCGAAGUAAGUCGGGUGUGAAAUCUCGGGGCUCAACCCCGAAACUGCAUUCGAUACUGCUUUGCUCGAGGACUGGAGAGGAGAUUGGAAUUCAUGGUGUAGCAGUGAAAUGCGUAGAUAUCAUGAGGAAGACCAGUGGCGAAGGCGGAUCUCUGGACAGUUCCUGACACUGAGGCACGAAGGCCAGGGGAGCAAACGGG